GUCACGCUUUGUUUUAUCUCUUGGUAACGGUAAAAAGUCAAAUAUUGUCAUUCAUUAAUCAAUGACAUCUGUUUUUUGUAGUAACUUCCGUUUGAGAGUUCGAAAGUAACUUAUGACAUCACAUCAAAAAAGAAACUAAUUUCAAAACAAAAACUUAAUCGGAAACUGCAGCAUAACAGUUGUCGCAAGAUAGCAAAAGUUUCUAGUUAAAAAAAUGUUUUCGAGAUGAAACUCGUCCCCAACGCCUUGUAUAAAGAACUUAAUCGGUGGUGAAAACAGCUUCGACUGGAGGAUUUGGGAAUAAGAUAUUAAAAAUUGUGUAGCUGCUUUGUGCAUUAUAAAGAUAUUGGCAUUGGAUUUUACACUUGGAUUAUACUUAAGAAAUUUUCGAUUUUGGAAAUACCUCACUGGAUUUGGAUUGGGACUUGAACUUUGUUUUUGGAUUUGUAAAGAAAUGUUUAGGUUGUAAUAUUUGUGAAGAUCUAGAGCGUUAUAAUCCAUUCUCAAAAUACUUGUCAAAACUCUACAGUUAUCUAUUCCUAAAGUGAAACUUAAGCUCACAAAAAAUAUGGCUUCUUCUCUAUAAUGGGUGUAGAAAAUUUCAAUACACUGCCCAUAGAGAUACGGUGAACAGGUUCAGUCGCAGAUUUUAGGAAUAGAGUCAUUAGUCAUUUUUAUUGCAAAUAAUUUUUAUUAUUUUGAUAUUUUUAUAAUUUUGUUUUUCCGUGAUAAUUACACUAAUCUUUAUGUUUAUCCCUUGAUUCGUCUACUUAAACACUCCUAUCUUUGAGUCUUUCAACAGUGGUAUUGAUGUAUCCGAGGUCGGCUGCCGUACGAAGGGCAGAAAGGAGAAACCAGGAUGGCGACAAGAGCUGUGUAAUUUGUAGCUAGACUCAUGUUAUUUAUAGCGAAGAAAGCUUUGUUGUGUUAACGUAUAGCCGUUCUUUUCAGGUAUUAGAAAGAAUACCUGUCUUUUUUCCCUGCUUUCACUAUUGCCCUAUAAUUUUUUUGUACGCUUCCUUUAUUGAAAAAUAUCAAAAAGGGAAAAAUGAUGAGUUUAGUUUACUAGCUAGACUAAAGUGGUAUUUUUUGUUUUUCUAUGUUAUUUGUUUCAGUCACAAUGUAUUAUUUAUAUAUACAUGUAUGUCUUUAUCGGUUUCUUUAUCAGGACACGCAAUUAUAGCAGUAAUUUAUUACUAAAGUGUAAAUCUUUAUGAUAAAUAAAUAAAUUACUCUGUGAAGCUUGUUUAAAUUAUUGGCAUAAUUUCCAUUGCAGAAAAAGCUCUGUCGAUUAACUCAACUAUUACUCAGUCCACAAUAAGUGAGUCAGCUGCCUCACACUGAGUUCUAAAAAAUCCUCAUACGUUGUAAGAGCUGACAAGAAGUUAGUCAGCUGCCUCACACUAAUUUCUAAAAAAUCCUCAUACGUUGUAAGAGGCAUAAUUCGAUCGUAAAAAUAUGUUUAAAGUUGAUGAAAUAUCCACUUCAGCGUUAAAUUUUAAAUGUAUUAAGUCAAAAAUAAUAAAACACACUCAGACAUCUGUAUUUAAUUGCUAUUUAUAAUUCAUUAAUAGAUCAAAGCAAUACGCUUAAAUAAAUGUUGUCUGAUGUUAUCCCCUGUUACUUAGGUAUAAAAACAUUACGAAGACCUAAACACGCUAAGAGUGUAUACAAAACUCGUUUCUUCUGUGUGCUUUAAGAGAGUUUUCUACUACGGCAUAUAGGGUUCAAAGUUUAACUUGCACCACCGGGCUUUGAAAAUCCGUAAUGGCGCAUAAUCUCCAAAAUUAAUUGCGGUUCCUGAAGCCAACAGUUCACCACAGGUUAAUUGCGGUUCCUGAAGUAAGUACUUAUACCUUAUUGAGAGGCUUGGCUUUGAUUGCAUUCAGUAUUCAAGUGUCCUCAAGGUAACUAACCAAUACUGUUGUAGAUCCAGGCCCUAAGAUUGCCUUGCCUACCUAUAAAAUGGGAGCAGCUAAAGUCAACUAGUUUUCAUCAUCACAUUUUGCUAAUAGUUUGGUUUGCCCACCCACCCACCCUGUUAUUAUAUAUUUUUUCUUUUUCUUUUAUGUACAUCAAUCACUUCAUGUACUGGCAUCAAUGUCCACAACUGUCACCAUAUUAACUAAUUCUACAAUCAACCACGACCCUUAUGUUAACUCGAUGAUGGUCCGGUUAACCCUUAUGUUAACCGGACCAUCAUCCGACACAUGACGAGUGCAUACGAUACCAAUUGAUGUAGCCCCAGAGGGUCUUCUACAACGAACUACAACACGCAACGAUCUACAACGCAAGAUGGAGGGAUCAAUUGGCAUCAAAGACGCGCGCUCGCUUACACCAGUGCUCUUGCCUCAAGGUUUUCUUGGUAAUCCAAAUUUGGCUACUUGCGAUUGCCAAGUUUUUUGUCCAGAGGUAGAAGCACUGUUGACCCGCGCUGGUGGGGAUGUCGGGCUUCCUUCGUCAGCCAAAUGAGAUGAAGAUGCGUUUGUUUCCCUAACAAAUAAGGUGCGUUUCCACGAGAUACGCCAUAGCAGGUAGCAGGCAAUUUCCAAGCGAGUUGCUGAGGUGUAGCCGAUUUCCAAGUGAGUCGCGGAGAUGUAGGCAAUUUCCAAGCGAGUUGCUGAGGUGUAGGCGAUUUCCAAGUGAGUCGCUCAGAUGUAGGCAAUUUCCAAGCGAGUUGCUGAGGUGUAGGCGAUUUCCAAGUGAGUCGCUCAGAUAUAGGCAAUUUCCAAGCGAGUUGCUGAGUUAGCGUUUCCACGAGAUACGCAGACGUUUCCACGAGAUACGUCUUACUAAGGGUAAGGAUGGAAACACACGCAUCUGGUUUGGGCCCCCCUGAUACCAAACCUGACAUCCCCCCCUUUCCCCAAACUCAAGUGUAGUUAUGACAUGAAACAAGAGAAAUAUACUUCUAACAUUA